AUUUAGCUGACGAGUCCCGAAUAGGAUGAAACGUGCGUCCUGGAU
rnacentral:hammerhead_ribozyme from 1 species